GCACUGGCUUCAGCAGCACAUCUACUAAAAUUGGACCAAUUCAGAGAAGAUUAGCAUGGCCCCUGCGCAAGGAUGACACGAAAUUCUCAUGAGACAAAAACUAAUACA